rnacentral:rRNA from 1 species
GCACGGAGUUAGCCGGAGCUUCCUUUGGAGGUACCGUCAACCCUCGGGGUGUUGAUCCGAGGGGAUUCUUCCCUCCUGACAGCGGUUUACGACCCGAAAGCCUUCAUCCCGCACGCGGCGUCGCUCGGUCAGGGUUUCCCCCAUUGCCGAAGCCUCUCGACUGCUGCCUCCCGUAGGAGUCUGGGCCGUAUCUCAGUCCCAGUGUGGCCGGUCAUCCUCUCAGAUCGGCUACCCAUCGUCGCCUUGGUGGGCCAUUACCCCGCCAACAAGCUAAUGGGACGCGGGCUCCUCCUCGAGCGGCAGGCCCCGAAGGGUCCCCACCUUUGCCCGUCUCGCCAUGCGACAAAACGGACACAUGCGGAAUUAGCCACUCGUUGGAAUGGUUAUUCCCCACUCAAGGGUAGAUUGCCCACGCGUUACUCACCCGUUCGCCACUCUACCGGUCGGACCGAAGCCCGACUUUCGCGUUCGACUUGCAUGCCUAAUCCACGCCGCCAACGUUCGUU